GGAUGUGAGGGCGAUCUGGCUGCGACAUCUGUCACCCCAUUGAUUGCCAGGGUUGAUUCGGCUGAUCUGGCUGGCUAGGCGGGUGUCCCCCUCCUCCCUCACCGAUCCAUGUGCGUCCCUCCCGAAGCUGCGCGCUUGGUCGAAGAGGACGACCUUCCCUCCUGAGGAGAGGACCGGUCUUCGGUCAAGGGUAUACGAGUAGCUGCGCUCCCCUGCUAGAACCUCCAAACAAGCUAUAAUGAAGAGCUAAUAUACUAAUUAGACCAGAUGGAGGAAUGACCUUCUGGAAUGACCAGUGGGUGGGGGGCAGGGCCACAAGGCAGCUGG
rnacentral:snRNA from 1 species